GUUCUCCCUUUGGCAGCACAUAUACCAAAACUGGAAAACAUAGAGAAGAUUAGCAUGACCUGUGCACAAGCAUGACAUGCAAAUUGGUGAAGUAUUACCUUUUGAA
ensembl:snRNA U6 U6 spliceosomal RNA